rnacentral:rRNA from 1 species
GACAGAGGGUGCAACCGUUGUUCGGAAUUACUGGGCGUAAAGCGUGUGUAGGCGGCUUGGCAAGUCGGAUGUGAAAGCCCCGGGCUCAACCCGGGAAGUGCACUCGAUACUGCGGAGCUUGAGUGUGGGAGAGGUUGGUGGAAUUCUCGGUGUAGAGGUGAAAUUCGUAGAUAUCGAGAGGAACACCGGCGGCGAAGGCGGCCAACUGGACCACUACUGACGCUGAGACACGAAAGCGUGGGGAGCAAACAGG